GAAGAAACUAAGACUCAGAGCUUCAGGUCACCCAGCCGGGAAGCAAGUGAGCUGGGAUUCCAGCUGCCUCUGCUGGGCUUCUUUUUUCCCAUUGCCUUCAGGGAAGGGUGACUGUCGUGGGUUAAAUGUUUCCCCCCAAAAAGACUUGCUCACAUCUGAACCCCCGGUACCCACGAAUGUAACCCUAUUUGGAAAAAGGGCCUUUGCAGAUGUCAUGAAGUUAAGAUGAGGUCAUCCUGGAUUGACAGUGGGCCCUAAGUUCAGUGCCAAGUAUCCUUAUGACAGUCAGAGAAGAUGACGCAGACACGGGACAGAGCAGGCCGUGGGGAGACAGAGGCAGAGGCUGGAGUGACACAGCUACCAGCCAAAGAGCACCAAGGUUGGCUGGAGCCCCCAGCAGCGGGACAGAGGCGCAGAACAUAUGACCACAGGAGCACCUGGAAAGGACCAAACCCAGCAACAGUUGAAUUUGGACUUUUAGCCUCCAGAACCAUGAGAAAGUAAGACUCUGCUGGACUGUGGCACGCACCCGGAACACCCAUCCAGCCGCCCUGAAGGAUGCAGGCCUCUCCGCCUUUGGUUCUCCUGUGCCUCUUCAGCCUUCUUCAGCUUGCUGCCUUUGCUGGGGAAGUGCCCACUCAGGACAGCUGAGGAGACGGAGCCACGGAGGUUGACAUAGGAGGUGAUGGAACAGCCAGUUUUCCUGCUGAGCCCAUCCGUAUAGACAGCCGGCAUGCAUUGAUGUGUCUCUCUCCCAGCUUCAACCCCUGUCUGCAGAGCUGGAGUCUCCGACUGUUCCCGCAUGUCCCUUCUCUGUUGUUACCUGCAGUCCAGACAAAAAUGGCAUAGUAAAAUAAAAGUUGAGAGAAUGCACAAACUGAUCUUUAUUUUCUCCAACAUCAAAGCGUGAUUGAUUUAUUUAUAUUUAUUUAUUUAUUUAUUUUAUUUUUGAGACAGAAUUUCACUCUGUUGACCAGGCUGGACUGCAAUGGCUCACUGCAACCUCUGCCUCCCUGGUUCAAGCAAUUCUCCUGCCUCAGCCUCCUACAUAGCUGGGAUUACAGACGCCCACCACCACACCUGGCUAAUUUUUUGUAUUUAGUAGAGUCAGAGUUUCACCAUGUUAGUCAGGCUGGUCUCGAACUGCUGACCUCAGGUGAUCCACCCACCUUGGCCUCCCAAAGUGCUGAGAUUACAGGUGUGCACCACCGCACCCAGCCGCAUGAUUUUUUUUCUUUCUGUUCUAGACAAUUUGAAAACACGAAUGAGAAGAAGAAACAGAAUCCCCCUAAUCCUAACUGCAUCAAACACAGCAAGC
rnacentral:lncRNA from 1 species